UGUAUGUGUGUGUGUGUGUGUGUGUGUGUGUGUGAAGAUAUCGGCAGGCAUGUUUAUGUGUGUUUGUGCACUUUUAUGUACAUUUCAGUCUUGUACUGUCUGAGC